CUUUGUGCUAGGGAUUCCAACUUGAUCCAAAUUGAGGAACCAUUACCAUGAGCUCCUAAGAGAGAGAGAUUCAAGAUACAUGGAGGAAUCUUCCAAGAGUUCAUUUUAAUUGUUGAUUGCUUGAGUUUAUGCUUAUGUGAUUGCUUAUUCCAAAGGAUGGGAGCUACUUGGAUCAUCCAUAUGAUCUCAAGAGAGGAACUCCUUUUUGUGGUUUUGUUUCUUAUCCCUCGCCUUUUGCAUUGCUUAG
rnacentral:lncRNA from 1 species